rnacentral:rRNA from 2 species
AGACCCGAAACCCGGUGAUCUAGCCAUGGGCAGGUUGAAGGUUGGGUAACACUAACUGGAGGACCGAACCGACUAAUGUUGAAAAAUUAGCGGAUGACCUGUGGCUGGGGGUGAAAGGCCAAUCAAACCGGGAGAUAGCUGGUUCUCCCCGAAAGCUAUUUAGGUAGCGCCUCGUGAAUUCAUCUCCGGGGGUAGAGCACUGUUUCGGCUAGGGGGCCAUCCCGGCUUACCAACCCGAUGCAAACUGCGAAUACCGGAGAAUGUUAUCACGGGAGACACACGGCGGGUGCUAACGUCCGUCGUGAAGAGGGAAACAACCCAGACCGCCAGCUAAGGUCCCAAAGUCAUGGUUAAGUGGGAAACGAUGUGGGAAGGCCCAGACAGCCAGGAUGUUGGCUUAGAAGCAGCCAUCAUUUAAAGAAAGCGUAAUAGCUCACUGGUCGAGUCGGCCUGCGCGGAAGAUGUAACGGGGCUAAACCAUGCACCGAAGCUGCGGCAGCGAACGUAUCACCCAAGACAACUUUACGGAGUUGACGAUUGACGGAGCGAAGCGACGUCAAAGCGUUCAUUAAAGUCGAGUUGGCUUAGGGAUACGUUCGUUGGGUAGGGGAGCGUUC